rfam:Ictidomys tridecemlineatus contig038750, whole genome shotgun sequence.
AGGGUUGUGGCUCAGUGGUAGAGCGCUCACCUAGCAUGUGUGACACCCUGAGUUUGAUUCUCAGCACCACAU